GUGCGUGUCCGUAUAUGGGUGAAGAUGAAGAAGUCGCCUCUCAAGGGGGAAAAUCUUUUCAAUUUCCCUUUAGCAGGUGCAGGUCAAGGAGGAACCCAUGAGCAUUUUGUCUGAUCCAUGAACUGAUUAGGGGAGGGGAAAGGAUCCCUCUCUUCUUGGUCUUCCUUUCCCAGUUUUGAAAUCAUUCCUUCCCCACCACUGCUGCCCUCCCACCCACCCCCUCCCCUUCCCCUGCACUGAAUGAAUGAAAGAGACUCCAGGGCUUUCUUCUGCUUCUCGCCCUGGACUGGAGAAGUGAGGGGGCAUCUAUCUAUGCUCAUCCAUCUCUUUCUCGCUUCAUCCAUUCCCGGCGGGAUUUCAGACCGUGCAAUGUGUUUUCAGCCUCUUGCCGCUGCUACCACUUGAUACUAUGCGACGCGCAGGGAGAGGGUUUUGCGAAAAUGGAUUUAUUCUAUUUUAAAGGAUUUCUUCUCUAAUAAGGAUCUCAUUGCACACAAAUAUGACUAAAUCCCCUAUUUGGUAAAUCUUUCUCUACCCCACCCCUUCUCUUUGGGUUCCCUCCCGCCCGCGCCCCCACCCCUUCAGAGGAGCAAGCACAGGGAGCUGAUGACGGACCCAUUAAUCCCUUCUUCAAUGCAUCAAAAGAAGCCGAAGGGCUGGAAGUCGCUGGGCUCGGAGUCCUGCAGGAAAUGCUUCGAUCUGCUUUUGGUUCUGUAUGAAACUGGUGACUAGGGGCUCGGCUCGCUCCGCCGCCGCCGCCCGCCGGCACCUGGAUGCGCGGGCCGCCGCCGCCGCCGCCUUGCCCGCCGCCGCGAUGCAACGCUCCUGGCGGUGCUGGUGAUCGCUCGGGUGUGAUGGGAUUGAGCCGGCGGUGAUCAUUUGAAGGCGGUGAGGGAGAGCGAAGGAGAGGAAGGGCUGCUCCGCUGUGCUGUGUGUGUAGGGGCUUCGGGAUUUUUCUUUUUCUUAUUCUUUUCUUACUUCCAUCCUCUCCCCGCCACUGGAAGUCCUCCCGUAUCUAAAUGGAAUUAGUGGAGACCGAAGCCCCUUGUGUAAGGAACAGACAUGACCCAUGGACGCAGCUUCUUUCACAUUGUAGCAAGUCUAAUCAUCCUACAUUUGUCUGGGGCAACAAAAAAAGGAACAGAAAAGCAAACUGCUUCCGAAGGACAGAAACCAGUGCAGUGUGGAACUUGGACCAAAUAUGCAGAAGGAGGCAUCUUCACUUCUCCAAAUUACCCCAACAAGUAUCCUCCGGACAGAGAGUGUGUCUACAUUAUAGAAGCUGCUCCUAGACAAUGCAUUGAACUACACUUUGAUGAAAAAUAUUCCAUAGAGCCUUCUUGGGAGUGUAAAUUUGACCAUAUUGAAGUACGAGAUGGACCUUUUGGCUUUUCCCCAAUCAUUGGACGUUUCUGUGGACAGCAAAAUCCACCUAUGAUAAAAUCCAGUGGCAGAUUCCUGUGGAUUAAAUUUUUUGCUGAUGGUGAACUAGAAUCUAUUGGGUUUUCUGCUCGGUACAACUUUACACCUGAUCCAGAUUUUAAGGACCUUGGCGUUUUGAAACCAUUGCCAGUUUGUGAGUUUGAGAUGGGAGGACCUGAAGGAAUUGUGGAAUCUGUACAAAUUGUCAAAGAAGGAAAAGCUUCUGAAACUGAAGCAGUAGACUGUAAAUGGUACAUCCGAGCGCCACCCCGAUCCAAGAUCUAUUUGCGAUUCUUGGACUACGAGAUGCAGAAUUCCAAUGAAUGCAAAAGGAAUUUUGUAGCUGUCUAUGAUGGAAGCAGCUCCGUGGAGGAUUUGAAAGCAAAGUUUUGCAGCACUGUUGCUAAUGAUGUAAUGCUGCGGACAGGUCUUGGUGUAAUCCGCAUGUGGGCAGAUGAAGGCAGUCGAAACAGCCGAUUCCAGAUGCUCUUCACAUCUUUCCAAGAACCCCCUUGUGAAGCCAACACAUUCUUUUGCCACAGUAAUAUGUGUAUAAAUAAUACACUGGUCUGCAACGGACUCCAGAACUGUGUGUAUCCCUGGGAUGAAAACCACUGCAAAGAAAAAAGAAAAGCUAACCUAUUGGACCAACUUACCAAUACCAGUGGGACUAUAAUUGGGGUGACUUCUUGCAUUGUGAUCAUCCUCAUUGUCAUAUCUAUUAUAGUACAGAUCAAGCAGCCUCGUAAAAAAUUUGUCCAAAGGAAAACAGACUUUGAUCAAAAUGUGUUCCAGGAGGUGUUUGAGCCUCCUCAUUAUGAGUUAUGCACCCUCAGAGGGACAGGGACUACAGCUGACCUUGCUGAUGUUGCAGAUGACUUUGAAAAUUAUCAUAAACUGCGGAGAUCCUCUUCAAAAUGCAUUCAUGACCAUCACUGUGGAUCACAAGUGUCUAGCAUUAAGGGCAGCCGUAGUAACCUCAGCACAAGAGAUGCUUCUGUCUUGACAGAAAUACAACCCCAGCCUGUAAAACCACUCGUUCAACCCAUGAACAGGAGAAAUAUCCUUGUCAUGAAGCAUAGCUACUCACAAGAUGCUGCAGAUGCGUGUGAGAUAGACGAAAUUGAAGAGGUACCAACCACAAGUCACAGGCUGUCCAGACAUGAUAAAUCUGUUCAGCGCCAUAACAUUCCAGGUUCUGCCUCAUUGGGUCUCUAAGCAAACAUGAGUCUGAGUACAACACAACUAGGGUCUAAGAGACAAACCUGAGACUGCUUGAGAAUAGUGCGCUCCUGGGUGAUUUUGAACAUGCUACAAUGAAAUGUGAAACUAUCGUCCCCGGAAACACCAGCUAGAGGUUUUAUGGACUCUCUGACCAGCUAUUCUCAUGUCAUGACAAAAUUCAGCAAACAGUGUUGAGUAAAAUUACUAGAAGGCAAUAAGACUUUGGUUAUUAUGCUUAUCAGUCAUUUCUCUUUUCCUUUUUCUCUCUUCUUUUCGUUACAAUUUAAAUUCCCAAUUUCAGGAACAAUUUAUUGAAAUCAGGUAUUUAGCCAUUCAUAAUCACUUCAAUAGAAGCAUUUGUUGGAUAAGCAUCUAGCAAUAUGACUGAAUUUGACAUUGAGAAAUUAAUCUGCAUGUUUGUUACUGAAUAUUUGAGUUGGCAAAAAUCCCUUUAUUAGAUACAUUGUAAAAAGCAUGCAUUCACAAUUAUUGCUGUUACUGUUCCAUUUCUGUGUCAUAUGCUUGCUACUUGUAACUUUUUAUAUAAAAAUACAUAAAAAAAUGUAUAAUAAUUUCGUACCUUGAGUUUAAUGGCAAUGUUUUCUUUUACCUAAUUUAUCAAUCCUGUGUAAUUUGGGAGAUUGACCUCAAAAAGUAUCUUCUAGGAAUUUAAAACCCAGAUACAGCAGGAAAUCAUCUGUCUCUCAUCCCUCACUUACUGAAAAGCAAAAUACAUUUUUUUUUUACGAUUUAAAUGGAUUCAUAUUACAUAAAGCUGAUCACUUAAUUUCAGUUCAAAGGUUUGUGAUAAGCUAUAUGCUCAAUUCUGUACUCUUCAUUAAUUUAUUUCCACAGUAAUUAAUAAGAAGAUUGCUUCAGUGUAGUACAGUGGCAGAUAUUUAUCGGUUACACAAAUGUUAUGUCUGGGUUCCAAUUUUAGAAAUACAGAUAUAAACCACUUCGCUAUGCAAGAUAAAAUUAUAUUCGUAAUUCAAGCUACAAAUAUUAGCAACUGACACCAAAAUUACACCUGAGAAGUUGCGUUUUUAUAGGUUGAAGAGCCAAAAUUAUGUAAAGUUGAAAGUCCUCUUAUUUAAGAACUCAGUAACCAUGCAUAAAAUCAUAGUUUCAUUAUCUAUGUAAAGUGUUACCUUCCAAAUUCUGUUUUAAAACAAAUCCCAGUUCCUUCUUAAACAUCUUGUGUCAUUCACGGAUGAUAUAAAAAUGUUGCUAGAUUUACUGAAAAAAGCGUAAAAAAUUCCAUGUAUCUCCCCAAAGUAUAAAAAGAUGGGAAAAGAGAAAACCUGAAAGACUGACAUAAAAAAUAAGGUGAUCUAUAUGAGCUAUUUAAAUAUACAGGAUCUAAUUUGUAUAAUUAAAAAUACAGAAAAUUUGAUUUCUACAAGUGUGAUUUAGGAAUGACAUGAAAAGAUGAAGGGUUUUAGGUAUUUGAUUACUUUUUUUGUACACUAAAUUUACAAUAUAUUUUACACAACUCGUUUUUAGCUUGAUUAAAUUGUUUGCUGUCACAUAUUAGCUGCAAAAGACACUCCUCUGUCCUCUCCAGUCAUUGAGAGUCAUUGAGUCAUCCCUCAGUUACAUGGGUUUGUAGCAUGCACUAAUAGUUCAUUUCCAGAUCAAUAGCUCUUUAUAAUUCAUAUACUUUAUCACUGCUUUUCCCCUUAAUCUUAUCAAAUCCUAGCUCAUCAUCCUUUCUUAAGUAUAUUAUAUUAUUUACCACAUACAUGCUUAAAAUGGAUGCAUGUAUGCAUCCAUUUUAAAAUAAAGGAAGAAUGGAAGACUUGUUAGAAGAAGUGCAUAUACAGCCACAAACAUUUAUGUAUAUUUAUAAAUAUUUGCUAAUGGAGAUAGUGUAUAAAUAAAUAUAAAAGGAAAAUUCUAAAUAUUAAUUUAGCUUUGGAUGAAUUGUAUUGGUCUCAGAAAAAUGCUUAACUUUUGGUUUUUAUAAUUGCUAUAUAUUUAAGUGCCUAAAUCCCCUGAAAUACAGAGUUUGUCUAGUCCCUUCUAGACAAGUGCACAAUAAAAUUAAUUUUAAGAUUCUUCCAGUGAAGUGUUGACUGAAAGAACUAAACUGGAGAAGACAUGGAUUUUAAUAAUUACAUUUCAUGCACAUCCUUGCUUUCUUUUAAAAAUACCUAAUUGUGUCACAGAAAAAGAAGGGAAUAACAUAAAACCUGUGUAAAUAGAGCAAGUCAAACAAAGUGAGAAUGUUAAUGCUUACUUGAUUUUGGAAACUCCUUUAGAAAUAUGUUGCCUAAUAGCUAGGUAUAUCCUUAAACAGAAACAGCACUGUGAAUUGCAAAAUAUCUGUAAGCUGGGGGAACAGGGUCAAAUUAUAUCUAUUAAUAUAAAUGAAAAUAAAUUCAAACCUAGUUAAAAUAUUAUAAUUGAAAUAUUCAAUUCCAAGUAAUUAAAUGCUUUAUGUAGUCAGUAAAUAAUAGCCUAGUCCACUAUACUGCAAACAGUAAAGAAAACUUUUGUUUCGUAUCACACAACAGUAGGAUAUCUUAAUGUGAAACUCAAAAUAUUGAAAUAAAAGGAGUUGUUGCUGGAAGUAAACAGCUUUCCUUUCCUAUGAGUAUUUUCUAUUAUUAGGAAGCUACUCUUUUAAAAGCAGAAGGCAGUUCAAACAAGCUUUCUGUUUUAUGGAAAGAAAGUUUGGCUUGUUAAAUUAACAUAGCUAUAUGUGUUAAUACUGUAUAACAGAACAGUAACUUACAGUAAAUUAGCAGAGCUAGUGGUCUUAGCUUCAUGCGUUUUACCUCAUGUUAGCCUUAAGCUAAAACUAAGAAUGGUAUUUACUAGAUCAUUUUGGUUUGACUGGUGCAAUGUGUUUGAUCUACAGUAUGCCUAUUUCUUAUAUACUUUUUAAAAAUUAGGUUUUGUUAUAGUGCAUUGCAAUAUUGUUCAUAGUUCUGUGCUCUGGUUUUUUUUUCCCCAUGGGUGUAGUGUUAUGUAUAUGCUUUUCUUUUUGUGUGAUAGUAGUUGAGCAACUACUCCCAAAUAUUUUUUCUCUGCUCCAGGAAAUAUGACCUUUUCAGUUUGUGAAGUCUUUUCUGCAGCAUCAUUUGAAAAAUCUCAGGAAGUCCAUUUUGUAAACCAUCCUCAUUUAUAGCUUUUCUAUCUUCACAAUCACUUGAAGAAAAAAAAAAACCAACACACGACUCCGAUAAAUGUCAGUACCUUAUCCUUCUAUUUUUCCCAGUUUUUGUGCUGGAGAUACUCUCUUGAACCUAGCAACAAUGUAACCAAUGAGAGGGAAUAAGAGAAAGUAGAAAGGUGUCCUGCUCAAGAGAAAUUGUUAGAACAAAACAAAACAAAACAAACAAAGAAAAAACAGACAAAGAAAAGAAACACGGAAAGGUAUCAUAAUUAGAAGAAGAGUAUGAAGGGUUGUUGCUCAUACCCAUUUCCAAAUUUGCAGACACAUAUAGGACAGAUUAAUUCUUCACCCACCAAAUAAAAACAUACUGUCCAUGUCAAGCUCCAAGAGACAGAAUAACUGUGCUUUAUAGAACACUGUCCUACAAACAAGAAGGUGGCCUUUUGUGCUUUUGUGUACUUUAUGUUUGUCUUCUGCCACAAAGAUAUUUCAGCUGAGGGAGCACAGCUGAAGUCCUAAGGGAUCCUCCUGCAAAAAAAACUGCAAAGCUGCUUUGAACACAGAAGUCUGUAUCUGAUCUGAAAGUGUUUUAUCUCUUCACUCCUGACUCAGCAUUUCAUGUGUAGUCUUGGACUCAUGACUUCACUGCUCUUCUUCAUCGUUACCUUAGGAUCAUCUCUCUUUGCUCUUUGAUGAUCACUUUACAUCUCUAUCACUGCUGCCUUUCAUUUCUGUCCACAGUGAGUUUAGUUCUGUUUCCAUCUCUCCUCAAAAUUCACUGAAAAUGCUGAAAUCCUACCAGCUCACUUACCUUGUUCUUCCGUUGCAUUCACCUAGCUCUUUGCCAUCUAUCACUUCAGAGCCAUCUUAAUUGUCAUCAUCAUCAUCAUCAUCAUCAUCAUCAUCAUCAUCAUCAUCAUCAUCAUCAUCAUGACAAUUAAGAUGGCUCUGAAGUGAUAGAUGGCAUCUUAAUUGUACCUUGCCUAUAAACAGCAAAAUGAAAACAUGAGAUCUCAGCAUAUCCUAAUCACCCUUAAUUCAUGUAGCACAACAAAAGCUAUGAAGGUACAUUGGAAUGGACUGGCGGGUGGGUUCAUUAGGGAUACUGGAUUUGUAUUUUAAUGACUGUGCAUCAGUGUUGUCUAGGCUGUCUACCUCUGGGUUGGCGUAUGUGCUCCUGUGCUAACCAUACCUCAGUGUGCAUCCACCCUUUUUCUUCUCCCAGUUUACACCAUCGUCAAAUAAUUUCCAGCCCUUCUAUGUUUCCUUGUCUGCUGUAUUUAGAUUAGUAUGUAUCACCACACAACAUAAAUCCUCGUCUUAGUCUCCUUCCCAUACCUCUUGAAACACUGCAUAGCCUGGCAAACACCUGCUAGUGGUGUGGCAGAGCUACAAUCAGCAAGGUAAGAACAUCAGCUACCAGGAGAAGCAGGAGUUGCUGCUUCCAUGCAUUUUCUUUCCCAGGAAAAGGAGUUGUGCUGAUCCACAAUCUCCCAGCAAGGUCACUAUGGGAACAAAGGGAAGCUGCUCUCCAAGCAAGAAAUCGUAACUAAGAGUAGAGAGACAAUUUAAGAAGCCAAUGAUGAAAAAUGGAAAGAAUGAGACUGCUCAGAUUUCUUUACCAAAGUAACAGGCCUGACCAACACUGUGCAGCAGCAUUUCAUCUCUUCAUUCUUAGACAAAGGAAGACUGCAAUUCAAGUCUUCUUUUUCCCAGGGAGAAGGACGCCACAACUGUGAGUACUGACUCUAUUCAGAACUCUGGAAACACUUAACAGCUUCUUGUGUAAAUGUAGGCAGACAAGGACUUACUGGGCCUAUGAGGGUAGUCUUGAGCUGCCAUAUACAGCAUCUGCAACACCUAGUUAUUUAGAUCUUUUAAGUUUUCCAUUCUUCAGUUGAUCCUCCUCAGCUCUAGUGAGAUACAUAAAAAGCACACUCAACUAUUUGAAAAACGGUAGCUUUACUGGAAAGCAAUUACUUGCUAUUUAAUUUAGUUGGAUGUGAAAGGUAACCAUGGUGCUUGCUGCUGCUAUUGUGGGUAAAAAAAAAAAAAAAGGUACUUUUUUUGCACAGAUCCUGUAUAAAUAUAUCUGGUUAAAUGAACCGUUCAGUUGUAUCAACUGCAUCAGUAAAUUAAAAAAAAAAGGUUUUGCUUAUAAAACUGAUUAUAAAAUUGUUUCAUGGUCUAGUCACAUUCUCCCUCCAGAUCCUGCUUUUUUUUCUGAGUUCUGAAAAUUUUGGUUUGGAAAAAUGGUUUCAUUGAAAGUGAAUGACUUUCCCCAUUUUUAGUGAAUCAAGGAAUAUGAUUUAUAUUGGAAAAGGAGAGCUUCAUUCUCAUUUCUUAGUGCUAGAGGGGGUUUCAGCAUAGAACAGCAUAAGCUGCUUUCUCCCUUUGUUUGAAAAAUUAUUGAUUUAAAGUAAGAUUAAUGCUCUAUAUUUAGGUGAUUCAUACAAGUUUGAAAAAUGCAGUAAAACAAUUAAAAAGAACACCAGAAAUCUAAAGUAAGCGUAUUUUCCCGAUGAUCAAUGCAGCAAUAAUAUUUUAGGCAGUUACAAGGCUAAGAGUUGAACCUUUGGUUACCCUACAAGCUCAAUCCUAACCCAAAUUUUUGCAAUAAAAUUCAUAUUGUUACAAGAUGAAACUCAGCUGGAAUAUGAAUGAUUUAUAUUUGUAUACCAAUUUCAAAUUACAAAUUUAACAUUUAAAAAUCUUUAUCAAGGAGCUAGCAUCAUUCAUUUUAAAUACAACUGAUUUUCCUGGUCAGAAAGAAUUGCUGUCUUUUUUUUUUUUUUCCCCAGAGCCAAAUCUCUGCAUUUUGAGUUUUUCUUGCCAAAUGGAAGAAAUUUUUAAUUCCUUUCUAACUUUUUCACUCCCACAUUUUACUGACUGUUUUGGUGUAGAAAACACCCAUGGGUGAUUUUUUUGAUAUUCUAAGCAUAUCUGGCACCUGUUUAGUAAUGAAACAGUACAUUACAGCUUUGCCUGCAGGAGGAAUUUCUUCAACUGUUAUCUAAGUUGCAUGGCAAAGAUCCAGGCCCAGAGAAUUGUGCUGUCAUAUGAGAGUAACUUUAGUGACAUAAAGUAUCUUGUUAACUUUCAGUGUCUUGGUAGAAAGUCUACACUAAUCUAGGGAAAUAUUAUUUAUAAGUAAUAAUUUAAACUUUAAUUUUUUAGAAUAUUAUUAUAACAUCUCCAUUGGUUAAUAUUGCCAUUUCUUUGGUGAUUGGAGAAUGAAGUUACCAUGGAAAAUUUACAGUUCGUAACAGAAUGGACCAAAGAUAAUGUGACAUUACUAUUAUGUAUGCUAGGGUUUUCAGAUCUGUGAUUUCAUUUCCUUAAAUUCAGCCAGAAUUCUUAGUUUUACUCCUCCCUUUUGUAAUGGAAACUUUGUACUCUGUGUAUGUCUAUUAGAUUAACACUGCUUUUGCAAUUCACUAGCUUACAGGGACUCAAAAAGAAAAAAUAUUUUCUGUGAUAACAUAUACAGCUUUUUAAAAAAGGCUAUCAAAUGUCAUUAGAGAUUAGAUGGAUCACAAUGUGCUGCUGCAAAAUUAUUAGAUUCAAGAUGUGAAUAAAUAAAAAUAAGAAAGUACUCUAGAAACUCUGCAGGGUUUUAGUUCUCUAAUUUUUAUUAUUCAACUGGCUUUGAUCAAAGAUAGAAAUCUCAACAGACAUAAACUUUUAUGGAAAUCUCAACAGGGACAUAAACUUUAUAUAGCAUAAAGUUUUAAACACACAUUGGUUUGGAAUAUACGGAGAAAAGAAAGGGAACAUUUAGAAAAUGUUUUUAUGCUUUGAGCUUCUAUCUAAGAAUUAAUCAAACAGACUUUGCACAGGCUCCUUUCUAUAGAAUCUGUGCAUAAUGAUGAACAAACCAUUUAAAUGGGAAGUAUAAAAUGUAAUAUUUAAGAAGCAACAGAAGUAGAUCAUGGUAGUGAAAUUGUUUAGAAGUAUGAUGUGUGAUUCUGUACCUAGUAAACACAUUUUGAAGUACUGCAAAAUUUAACAAGUUCCUUUGGUUUCCUUACUAUUAGGCAUAUGGUUUAAAACUGCGACAUACCAAGGGAGUAAUACCUGAUUAAGUAAAAAGGAAAUUUCUUUUUUUAGAGUUCCUGAAUUAGAAUCUUGUCAUCCAUUCUGUGAGGGUGGGCUCAUCGCCCUCCGCUGUCAAUGACACUAAAUGGGCUGAUUAUUCAGAGGCUCUUCUUGACAGACCUCUUGUCAUUUUCGUUAGGACUGCAGAACUCACCUCCAGCUAUGAUGAUAAUUUCAGAAGUUAGUGGGUGAUGGAGAAUUUGGUCUAGUUAAACCUUAGCUCUAUAUCUGUAUUUUCUUUUAUCUAUUUCUACAUUUUAGCAAUUAAAGUAGAAAAAAAAAAAGGUAGCUAAUUUAAUUUAAAAUACAUUCUAUCACUGUGUUUGGGUUUUCGUUACCAUUCUUGAGACAUGUUCAUUGAUAAACACCUGUCAAGUAUUUCUUGUUUAAUGCCAUGACUCAAGUGAUGUUUAGCUUGAGCUUGAAGUUCUGAAGACACAAAUUUUUGUAUCUCACCUUGUUCCCUGACAUUUAUUAACAUUUUCAAAGCUCUCCAGCCUCUCAGGAACUGUUAUCCAGCUUGGAGCUGAUUAUUGUCAGUGCUGAACACCAGCUGGGUGAGAAGAAAGAAGAAAAACUUUGCAAAUGAAGAUUACUAAUCCAUUUUCUCCAUGAGAAGGUCAAUGUGACUACCAAAGCUGAAUGGACCCUUCUACUGCUAGGAAGAAAUGAGACUAAAAUUUCAGCUCACUAGGUUGUAUUUUUGCCAUGUGAAAAUAGUCCUUAUGUUUAGUUUCAAAGUGCAUACAGAAGUGGAAAUCAAAGAAAGAUAAUAAGAAAAAAAAUCUUCCAGAACCCUGACAAUGGUAAGUAAAUAAAUCAUUGUACCCUGGUGCAUAAAAUUAACGUACAUCAUAGCAUGGAGUGGAACCACUACUGUUUAUUUUGGAUAAUUUGCAAAUCUUCUAAUGAGUUUGUUUUUAUACAUGGAUCAGGCUAACAUUUUAGUUAUGUUGUCUUCAUCUAGUACCAGGAAUUAGGAACUCUCUACAUUCCUAAAUACUUUUGAAAGGUGUUAGCCAGACAGUUCCAACAACUUCCUCUGCUCCGUGUAUUAUAUAAUCAGUUAGGAACAGGAACUACAGUAUGGAACUCCUGUUGAGUCUAGCAAAACAUUGCAUAGCUAUGACCUCUAGUCAGUAUUGUAAUCAUAGUGCAUUGUUUGAAAAAUAGGAGAAAAUACAAUGAUGUAAUCUAAGAUCACAUUGAAGGACACAAUCCACAGAACCCUAGAAAAUAACUUUUUAGAGAAAAGACAGCGCAGAGUCAUUUCUGAGGAGCUUGACUUUGUCCUUUUUCAUAUGCUGAUUUCUAAAAUAAUAACAAACAUUGUAAAGGAGAAAGGGAGAACAAAAGCAUAAAGCACAUUCUUUUCAUUCAUAAUAAUUGUAAUGCUGAUCUCUAAAUCUGCUGCUUGGGUGAUGUAUUGUUUGGGGAGAAUCCUGUGCUGCUACAGGCUUUCAGUCAUGACGUGUAAUGCUGAUGCUUAUGCAAGUCUCCUCCAAGACUGUUAUUGAAGUUUCAUAAAAUUCAUAAAUCUAAUAAACAUGAGAAUAUUACAGCAUUUUGCCUUUGCUGUUUUCAACAGGAAAUACAUUCUAGAUUACAAAAUUUGCAGGGAGCUCAAGUUUGAAAAAAAGUCAUGAAUCUCUCCCCCCUCCAAGUCAUGCAUAUUGUGGAGAUUAACCAGACUAAUUUGUAAAAAUGUGGUGUAUAUGCUGACAUAUGCAGUCAAUUUUCUAAUGUGGCAUGCUUUCCAUCACUUUGUAUGCAUAUCUUCCAGGUACAUGGAUACUCCAUUACGAACACAACAGCUUAUAUGUCCCCAGACAGCAAUAAGCAGUCAUCAGAUGGCUGAAAACUGCAAAUGUGCCCAAUCUAAUGCUGCAAGUAGUUGGACUGAUAUUACACAAAGAAGUUGGACAGAGAAACACAAAGGAAGGCUUUCAUCCAUUUCCAGAAUAUUUCAUGCUUGGCAUUAGUAAAAGUAUUUCAAUUCCUAUGAUGAUGAACAUAUAUUAAAACGAUUUAUCCAUUUGCUUUCUGAAGAUGCUGGUAGCAUUUUAUUCUAGGGGAAAAAAGAUGCAGCUGAAAUGCUUGGGAAACAUCUGUUCAACCAGAUCAUGACUAAGGAAACUCCACACUAACUUUAUUUGUGUUUUGUUAUUGGUUUCUAUGUCUUUCAGUCACUCCUAAUGGAAUGAUAAAAGCUGUUAGUCAAAGGUACAUCAUGUCUCUAAGUUGAAUCUUGCUUCAAGAUUUUGGAUGAGUUGGACCCUUUCUGGGUUGGACCCUUUCUGGGUUAAGUACAACAGAAGCCAAAGGAAAAAUGGGUACUUGACAUUCCCCCAAGCCUGUAACACUGCAGGGAGAGUAAAGAAGGAAACAACCUCACCUGAAAAGCUUCAAAAAUUUCUUUAGAUUCUUUAACCCAUCAGAAACCAAGGUACUGUAAAUUAAGUCCCUCUUCUGAAGGCUGCUUUUGCUGCCAUCAAAAACAAUAUGAGAGGCACAUUAAGGCUGUCUAACAUUUUUCUAAUUUAUUACUAGGUGAUUACUCAUCCGCAUUAGUUUUCAUGGAAUAGAAUUGGUCUCUCCCUCAGAAACCAAUCUCAGUUUCACAGAGAGCUAUGCAAGAACAGCUGGAGUGUUGCACAUGCAGUCAAUUAAUUUUAGAAUUAUUUCCACUGAGUUACUUGAAUUCACAACUUCAGGUAACACUAUCGAAACCUUCCAGUUGAAGGGAGGCUCUGAUAUUGCUGAUAUUGCUUCUGUCUUUCCAUGUUUCAGUUCUGCUAUUCCAGUAGAAUUUAGAAACUCCUACUUCUGAGGGCUGGAAGAAAAUCCCUAAAGAAGAGAUAGUCCCCUACAUGUGUCUCAGAUAGCAGAGUCUCCCUUCCUCUCAGCUCAGUCACUUUCACAAAUGACUAAGGUAAAAGAAGUGGCAGCAACCAGGUAGCAAAGAGGUAGCAACUGGAGGAAAAAGACUCUGAGGCGGGGGUGUUGGAAAAGGGAAAUUGAAGUCUUUUCCUGGUAUAUUAUUGCUGCUCUUUCACAAGUAACAACUGAUAAAACAUCUUGCAAACAGUAAAAGGGAGUGAAGUUUUCAUUUGCCAGCUCUUCUGUAUGUGGAUUUACUCCUUACCUGAACUUACAGCAAGUACUGACUGGCAGAGGAGACUAUAAGGACAAGGGGAUUUGUCUUUUUCUAUGCAUUAAUUCUGCAUUUUUAUUUAUUUUUCAAGAAAAAUGUCAAUAUUUAUUGUGUUCAAAUAGAGCUACCAAGGUGUUAAGACACCUCAGGUUUUAGUGCAGAACAAAUUUUAUACACUUCAGUAGGGCAGUCAGUUUCUAUUGGCAAGCUCAGUGUCCAGUACUGUUAUUUAAAUGCCAAGUCAAAACUACUCGCCUCAUGAGUACUUAUUUCUUUUGAUCCAGGCCAAAACAAACUCAAUCAUCUGUAUCUGUGAUGAGUUUCAAUAACUCUUUCUCAUUUCUUUUUGCUAAAAUGGGAAGACGAAGGGAAGAAGAUAACAUAUUUUAUCUGAAGUCAGUUUCUAAUUCAAUUAGAGCUUCAUCUUGGCCCCACUGAACUCUCUGGGCUUUUUGCCACUGACUUUAAUAAGGUUGGAAUCGGACUCAUAACAUGCAGUUUCUUAUUUCUUCCAGAUAACCAAUUAAAAUAUUAAAUAUCUCAGGGUGAAUGCUUCCUUCUUGUCUACCUGCUCCUUGAUAUUGUGUUAUUGCUUUUUCUUCUGUCCUUCAGUAAGUUUUAAUUAAGGGUUGCUUUGUGUGUAGAUAAAGGGGGGAUGUUUAAUUUUAAAACUUUUCAAGUUAUGCUUCAGUCUUGAUGUUUUUUAAAGAGGGAAAAAACAUGAACAUUAGUUUUUUUUUAGUGGAGGCCUAAUCUACCAAAUUGGUUUGCCUGAGGAUGAAUUGGAAAGUGAGAUGACGAAUAAGGGGUAUGAGAGCAAACAUACGCUCUGUCUCCUCUUUUAAUUAAAAACAAAAGAAAAAGAAUGCAUUUGAUUAUUAAAAAUCCUGGUUCAUCAGACUCUCCAGAGAAAAUAAACCUCUUUUAUAUUUCACAGAAUGUCCAUUGUGAAAACAAGAUUAAUAUGACUGAUAGUUAGAUUAAUUUCUGAAGUCUCAUUACAUUCAUAUCCAUUCAUUCUUCUUUUUAAACCUGUCGGAUCAGUAUUUAUUAUUUUACAUCAGGAACAACUGAAAAUAAGGUCUUUUGAUCCAGUUUGUGGCAUUGGUUCCUAUGCCUGACAGUACAGGUGAAAAGAAUAUGAUAUCAAGGACUACAGAUUCAGAUAACAGAUUGAAGGAGGAGAUAUAUGCAAAGCAACACCUCUAAAAGCAUACUUGAAUGCUUUGUGAGUGCUGGAGUAUGUGAGUGCUGGAAUAUGUGAGUGCUGGAGAGAAGAAGGGAAAGAGAAAGGGAAUGAGGAGGCUCAGGGGGCACCUCAUUGCUCUCCACAGCUACCUGAAAGGAGGUUGUAGUGAGGUGUGGGUUGGUCCCUUCUGCUAUAUUUCAAGCAAAAGGAUGAGAGGAAGUUAAGUUGUGCCAGGGGAGGUUCAGGUUAGAUGAUAGAAAAAGCUUUUUCACUGAAAGAUUGGUCAGGCGUUGAAAUAAGUUUCACGGUGUGGUGGUGGAGUCAUCGUCUCUGGAAGUGUUCAAGAGGCGUCUGGGUGUCACGCCUGGGGGUAUGGUUUAGGGGUGAUUAUGGUGGUGCUAAGUUGACAGUUGGACGAGAUCUAGAAGUUCUCUUACAAUAUUAAUGAUUCUGUGUAAUUUUGUGAUUUGGCUUGAUUUUCAUUUGUGACCAUGCACUUGUUUGGUUGCAGUGUAUGCACCAGUAGUACUGCCUGGCUAGUAUUUGAACAAAUGUGUAUUUCCCUCUGUCCAGGUAAAUAUUUAAGAUUCGUAAUUUUGGUCUGAGUGAAGAUUUUGCACUACAGUUAUUGACUUGGGCCUUAUACGAAAAGCCAAAAAGAUGCCACUUAUCUCUCUUUUGUGCAGGUACACAGAACAUAUUGGUAUAUGCAAGAAUUUAAGAUCUUUGUAGAGCAUCUGAAAUUAGGGAAAAUUUAAAUGUUUGCUUGGAUUUCAUAACAGUAGGGGGAUAGAAAGGAAGAAUGCAAAAUCUCACCCAAUCUACUGACAUGACAAGUCAGUAAAAAGUUAUUUCUAAUGCUGUGCAAUGUAAUUAAGUCUAUUAACUUUUUUAUUUUAAAAAACUAAAUUACAGAGUCUAGGGUGUUAGACGCAUGAUAAUAAUUCCCACUUCUUGUAAGAAUUAAACUGUUGGCUAUGUACAAGACUUUCUAAUGACAAAACUCUCUUUGAAAUUUAUUAUGGCCUUGUUUAUUGAUUUAUCUAGGUCUCUAGGGAAUAUUACAGACUGAUCUGUCUCAGAUGUGUAUUGAAAGACUUAGAACUGCUGAAAACAACCUAUUUAAUGUACAGAUACCUUCAUCUAAUUGUUAACUUUAAAACUGGCUCAAACAAUGUAUUGGAUAUCGUUACGCCAUUAAUUUUUCCCUCUGAUGAGAGUGCUUGAGCCUUUUCCUGCACACUUUAAGUUCUUUACUCUAGAUGUUGUAAGGGCAAGAAAGAAUUUUUCUCAAUACAGCAUCGUGCUGUGAAAUCCUCUUCAGUAAAGCAUUUUAUCUGGACUAAUAUUUUUUUUCUUCAGUCUGAAAACCAGUGGAGUGUUUUCUAUGCACUGUACAUCCUGGAGAGCUUCCAGGGUUUCAAGUCUGCCCGGUGUCACUGUGAGACUCUAGGGGCAGGGAUUUAAUAUUUUUUUGGUUAAAUAAAUAGACACCAUAGAAGAAUAGGUUAUUUAUAAUCCAUUGGCACAGGCUAAUUUUAGUAGCCAAGCUAUAAAUGCAUUGAGCAAGCAGUUGCUAAAACUUACUUAAAGAGCUUUGGUGUCUAUUCAUCUUGCUGAUUGUAGCCAUAGCUUUCAUCUGGAAAGUGGUAGAUGGACAUCCUUGGAUAAAUUGAAAACCACAAGAAAUCAAAUUAAUGCCUUUUAUCUAAACAAAUAGACGGGAAACAAUUUUGUCUAUAUUUGCUCCAGACAACAGCAUAUAGACUGCACGAACUUGCUCCUUUUUUCAGCAGAUCCAGGUGGUGGGAUGCUUUCAUUUUCUCCAUCAAGUUUAAGAGACUAUGGUUUGAACGAAGUAAUACUGAGUAUAAUGAAUUUCAACAAGAAUGAAGGGAUGGAAGAAAAGACACUGAGUUAAAAUGAUAGCAGGCCUUGUACUUGAUUUGUUCAACAGACUUGCAAUUGGGGUAGCCUUUGUGUUAUUAAAUACUAUAUUCUAAGACGAAGUAGUGUAUCUGGCCAGAAUUUGAUAGAUCAAAUAGAAAAAGCAACACAUGUCACAGACACGUCUCAAAUCAGGUGUUCCUUGAUUUUGCACAUGACUAUGUGAGUUUCAGAUGUCAUUAAAUUUAUCCUAUAGCACAAGACAAAUUUUUUUUUGCCAGAAACUGGCAAGAUUUGAAAAAUUGUGUGUCUUUUACAGUAAUCAGGUGACAUAUAUAUAUAUGUAUAUAUUUAAAUCAUCAAGACAAAGAAAGAGAUCCAAACACAUCAUUUUAUUAUAAUAUUCAGAUAUUUUGGAGAGAAAUGCAUGAGUCUGAAGUGAUUCAUACCAUGGAUCCAAAUGGUUUUUCCGUAUUUUGUGAGAGUCCUUGGAUGAACAAGUUUGUACUUAUGCAUGUGUGAAAUAAAUCUAUUCUGCUGCAUUUUGAUGUAGAGAUUUAAGAUCUGCUUCUUUUAUCUCCAAAAUUAAUUAGUAUAAGAGUUGUCAGCAGUUUUUUGAGUUGCUUAAAACUAAAUGUGAGUGGUCAAACAGUAUUGCAGAAAUGCCUCUGGCAUUAUAUCUGAAGUAAAAUUGAAAACUCAAAACUUAGCUUAAAUUAAUGUGUUUCACCGGCUUAGUGGGAGGAUGGUGGCAUGUCUGCAAACAUUUAUAGAUCAGAGAAUGUCCUGAUCUGUUAAUAGUAAAUGCUAUUGAAAUCAUGGCCAAAUUCCAUUGAAAUUUUAAGUGCUAGGAUAUAACUUUAGAAAUACCUUUAUCGUAAAAUACAUGGAAACCUGGAUGAUAUUUUUAGUGGAACAAUUAGUAAUUGGUUUUAAAAAGAUGCUUCAAGUUUUGAUCUAUUCUUGUCAGUAUGAAUAACCAAGGUAAAAUAAUAAAUAUUGCUAAUGGCAAUUUAAUGAAAUAUGAUUAACGGUUAACACUAGAGAUCUUUCAGAAUGGCUGCUCUGUCCACUGGUUUAUCAGAAAUGUAAUUUUUGAACAGUAGAAUAUAAACUGUGUUUGCUUCAGAUUUUUAUUUUAUAUAAAACUGAUUGUAAUACAGAUAUAUUUUUAUAUCUGAUUUAAUAACAGUAUAGUAAUUCUAUCCAUUUACUGUCUGUCUGUCAAAGCUGGUACUAAUAUAACAUUCACAGUUCACAUCUACAAGUUCAGAGAACUUCAAGGUAUUAUUACUAUUCGUAAUGUUAAUAUUUUUCUGCCACUUUCAUUAUAUAUGAACUGAUGGUGCUUUGUUGUGGAAACUAAGAAAACACUUUAAGAAAUGCUGUAUCUCUCCUUGUCUGUGAAUUUAAAAAGAAGUACAACCAAAAACUUUAUAUAUUUAAUGGUGCUGUAAUCUUUUAAUUUAUCCUGUGUAGUCAGGCUUUACACUGGUCUCUCCAAAAGUAUCAACAUGCACAGUGUUUCUGAAGUGUGUCCUGAACAACAUACAUUUUAUUGGCUUCACUUGUUCUUGCUGUUUUCUUAUUAGGAUGACUAAGGAUUUUCACUGAACUGGUGGGAUUGACUAAAAUCAGGAACUGAAAAUGCCCCCAUUUAAGGUUUUCUUGUCACUGAAAAAGACCUUUACUUCACCUCUUAUAUUCCAGUGGAUGGCAAUCUAAAGUGAAAUUGUUCAGCUGAAAUUGCUGGGAUCUUAGGUACUCCAGGCUCCUGGAAAGACAUCCUAUUAUUAAUCCUGGAUUAAUGAAGAGACUGGACUUAGGGCAUGAUCCAGAGCCCAUUGUAGUCAAUGGGAGACUUUUUCCAUUGACUUCAUCGGGGUUUGGAUCAGGCCUUUACUUCCUAAAAUGAAUAAACUCCCAGAAAAAUCUGCUGUAAGCAAGUGACAUCCUUUCCUGAGAUCUUAGAAGAUACUGAAGACAAUAGUAAACUCAUACUUCGCCCAUGAGUAUGGCUAUAUGUGUGGCUCACUGCUCAUGGGGAGCACCCAGUGUAUCUUAAAAGCAAAGAAAACCCUUAAGAGUCUAAGCAUUGCUGGUCACGUUCAGAACAGUUGAUCUAGAAAGCAGGGAUUUAUGUUCAUAAAAUAAAUUGGUAAAUCAUGGGAAACAAAGCAGAUACAUUUCUGAGUAUUUCUUAGUUUCCAAGGGAAAAGGGAAUAUUUCAGUUUAAAACUCCCAGAACACUAGUAUGUGAAUUCUUGACAUUCAGAAAUAAAAAGCAGUGAUAUCAAUACUGACUUCACAUUCUGUCACAACAACAGUAAUGAAAAAUAAUAGUAGCAAAAGAAAUUCAUUAAUUUGUUUAUGAUGAGUGAUAAUUUUCAAAAUUUCUAAAUCUAUAAAAGGGAUCUCAAUUUGGUACAAAGUUGAUGGAAACCAAAGGAUUUAUUUAAAAAUAGCAAAUAGAGGGGAAUUACAAAGUUUCUUUUUAGUUGUUGUUGUUUUAUUUUCCUGAAUAAGUUUAAUGACUUUUCCCUAACUGAAAGAAAUAGAAAAAAAAAAAAAAAAUCCUCCCCUACCUGUUGAACGUGUGUACUUUCCAAAUAAAAAAAUCUAUUUAUGUCAUGUAUAUGUCUGAAAUCCUGAAUCCCUCACAACACAGGCUGAGCAAUAGCAGUGAACAAAUAGUAUAGGAUGGAUUGUUGAUGCUUCUGAGGUAGUUAUAUCUCUACAGUAAUUCCAUAAAGGCAGAGUUCUCUGGUUGACCAAAACAGAACUUAAAUGGAAAUGAACCUGCUUGAAAAAUUUGUUUGGGAGAUUUAAUGAUACAACUCCUCAAGAUUUCUUGCUUUUAUAUCUAAUUCAAAUUUCUUUUCCCAUUAGAAGUUGAAUACAUUAAUCUUGUUAGUUAACACAAAUUUUAGAGAAACUUUAUGGUCAAACUAUAUAUUAUGAUUGCAGUCAUUAUUUCAUCCACUAAUUUGUUUUCUUAUAAAAAUUUAAAUGUCUUAGCAUGUGACUCUUGUCAUAGUUACUAUCUCUCUUGACUGAUAUGAUCACUCCAUUUUUGAAGUUUAAAACGUUGUAUAGGUAAAAAAUUCUCUGUGAGCACUGGAAAAGUGCACCAUUACAUUUUGCAAAGUUAUAUUUUGUGAGUCAGAUUGGUAUGACUAGUUUAUAAUGCGAUUAAACUGUAAAUCUCUCUAUAUGAAUUCUAAAUAUGGUCUUGAGGUUAACUUUGGGCUACUGGUUUUUGAAGGUUGCUCAUAUGUUGUAUAGUUUCUUUAUAAAGGUUAAACUUGUUUUUUAUAUUAUAUGGUCUCUUCAGUUUAUUAUUUUCUUAUUGCUAGUUGCUUUGUGCAAGAAAACUAAUUAAAACUCUUAAUAGAU